CGGCCAUCAGCUAGUUGGUAGGGUAACGGCCUACCAAGGCAACGACGGGUAGCUGGUCUGAGAGGAUGACCAGCCACACUGGAACUGAGACACGGUCCAGACUCCUACGGGAGGCAGCAGUGGGGAAUCUUGCGCAAUGGGCGAAAGCCUGACGCAGCGACGCCGCGUGGGUGACGAAGGCCUUCGGGUUGUAAAGCCCUGUGGGGGAGACGAACCGGGUCGUGGCUAAUAUCCACGGUCCUUGACGGUAUCCCUUUAGCAAGCAUCGGCUAACUCUGUGCCAGCAGCCGCGGUAAGACAGAGGAUGCAAACGUUGCUCGGAAUUACUGGGCGUAAAAGCGCGCGCAGGUGGUCCGGUAAGUCGGGUGUGAAAAUCCCGGGGCUCAACCUCGGAAGUGCACUCGAUACUGCUAGACUUGAGUACUGGAGAGGAGAGCGGAAUUCCCGGUGUAGAGGUGAAAUUCGUAGAUAUCGGGAG
rnacentral:rRNA from 1 species